GGAGAUCAUCGGGUGGUAGACCAACGUACUGCACCGGACACAUCUCAUUUCUGGACUCUUGGGGCGAAUACGAUCAGAGAGGAAAAUGCCAGGCAGAGAGGGAAUAAAAGAGAGAUCACCUGCCGGAGGGACUGAAGCAAGUAAAAAGAUGCUCUUACACAGCAGAUGGGGAUAGCCGCCGUCACCCAAUUUACUUUUGCCCAGGCUGUGCAAC